GAUGAACGCUGGCGGCGUGCCCAAUACAUGCAAGUCGAGCGAACGGACGAGAAGCUUGCUUUUCUGAUGUUAGCGGCGGACGGGUGAGUAACACGUGGAUAACCUACCUAUAAGACUGGGAUAACUUCGGGAAACCGGAGCUAAUACCGGAUAAUAUUUUGAACCGCAUGGUUCAAAAGUGAAAGACGGUCUUGCUGUCACUUAUAGAUGGAUCCGCGCUGCAUUAGCUAGUUGGUAAGGUAACGGCUUACCAAGGCAACGAUGCAUAGCCGACCUGAGAGGAUGAUCGGCCACACUGGAACUGAGACACGGUCCAGACUCCUACGGGAGGCAGCAGUAGGGAAUCUUCCGCAAUGGGCGAAAGCCUGACGGAGCAACGCCGCGUGAGUGAUGAAGGUCUUCGGAUCGUAAAACUCUGUUAUUGGGAAAGAACAUAUGUGUAAGUAACUGUGCACAUCUUGACGGUACCUAAUCAGAAAGCCCCGGCUAACUACGUG
rnacentral:rRNA from 1 species